rnacentral:rRNA from 1 species
AUUGAACGCUGGCGGCAGGCCUAACACAUGCAAGUCGAACGAGUGGCGGACGGGUGAGUAAUGUCUGGGAAACUGCCUGAUGGGGGGGGAUAAAUACUGGCAACGGUAUCUAAUACCGCAUACCCUCAGAUGUGCCCAGAUGGGAUUGGCUAGUUGGGGGGGUAACGGCUCACCAAGGCGACGAUCUCUAGCUGGUCUGAGAGGAUGACCAGCCACACUGGAACUGAGACACGGUCCAGACUCCUACGGGAGGCAGCAGGGGGGAAUAUUGCACAAUGGGCGCAAGCCUGAUGCAGCCAUGCCGCGUGUAUGAAGAAGGCCUUCGGGGUGUAAAGUACUUUCAGCGAGGAGGCGUUACCCGCAGAAGAAGCACCGGCUAACUCCGUGCCAGCAGCCGCGGUAAUUC